rnacentral:lncRNA from 10 species
AGAGCACUUGUUGGUGGCAUGAGCUGAAAUGAAAUGGUGGGGCGUCACCUGUGUGACCUCAGCCAGGCCCAUGGCCUGUGGCUGACUCUGGGGUGGCACCGUGCUGGCAGGUGGGGCACACUCAAAGAUGAGCUGUUAUUAUCAAAGGGUGUGAAAUUUCCAGACAACCACUGACUUGAUGAAUCCUCUUGGGCACCAGAGCGUGUGCUGCAUCUGAGAUGCUGGCUGGGGAGCCCAGGCAGUCGACGGGAGAGGAGCGCUCACUGUCUUACUGGAAACAAGCUGUUUGGAGAACAACCUGUUUUUACUCUCCUUUUGCAAGCAAAACACUCCCACUGAGCAAUAGCGUUUAUGGCAGCAUUUAGCGGACACAGAAGCACAUCUGAAAGUGGAGAGAGACGCGUUUCCCCAUUGCUGGCCGAGUCCCACCACUUUGCUCAGCUAUGAACACCUGACAUCUCGUUUCAUUUUCAUGCAAAAUCUGGAGAUAAUUAUUAUCCACAAUUCUAA